AGGGUUAGUCGGGUCCUAAGGCGAGGCCGACAGGCGUAGCCGAUGGAAAACAGGUUAAUAUUCCUGUACCAACUUAUUGCGGAUGAAACGAGGAGGGACGGAGAAGGGUAUAAUACCAGCCUGGUUAUGGAUAUACCAGGUCGAAGCGUGUAGGUGGAUUUCCUAGGAUAAAAACGGGAAGUCUUAACACCAAGGCGUGAUGCGGCAUCAAAUCUUCGGAUGCGAUGUUAGUGGUUGAUCCCAUGCUUCCAAGAAAAGCUUCGCGUUGACAAUAUAGGUUGCUCGUACCCCAAACCGACACGGGUGGGUAGGGUGAGUAUCCCAAGGCGCUUGAGAGAACCGUGGUUAAGGAACUCUGCAAAAUGAUACCGUAACUUCGGGAGAAGGUAUGCCUUCUAUGGUGAUGGGACUUGCUCCCUGAGCUUAAGGAGGCCGCAGCGAAAUGGGGCUAGCGACUGUUUACCAAAAACACAGGUCUCUGCUAACUCGAAAGAGGAUGUAUAGGGACUGACGCCUGCCCGGUGCCGGAAGGUUAAGGGGAGAUGUAAGGAGUAAUCCGAAGCUUCGAACCGAAGCCCCGGUAAACGGCGGCCGUAACUAUAACGGUCCUAAGGUAGCGAAAUUCCUUGGCGGGUAAGUUCCGUCCUGCACGAAUGGCGUAACGACUGGCCCACUGUCUCAACCACGGACUCAGCGAAAUUGAAGUCUCGGCGCAGAUGCCGAGUACCCGCAGCUAGACGGAAAGACCCCGUGAACCUUUACUGCAGCUUGACAGUGAUAUUCGAAUUGAUUUGUGUAGGAUAGGUGGGAGACUAUGAGAUUGGGCCGCUAGGCUCAAAGGAGUCGUCCUUGAAAUACCACCCUGAUUAGUUUGGAUAUCUAACCUAGGCCCGUUAUCCGGGUCGGGGACCCUGUCUGGUGGGCAGUUUGACUGGGGCGGUCGCCUCCCAAACAGUAACGGAGGCGCGCGAAGGUUCUCUCAGCCUGAUUGGAAACCAGGCGCUGAGUGCAAUGGCAAAAGAGAGCUUAACUGCGAGACCGACGGGUCGAGCAGAUGCGAAAGCAGGUCAUAGUGAUCCGGUGGUUCCGUAUGGAAGGGCCAUCGCUCAACGGAUAAAAGGUACUCCGGGGAUAA
rnacentral:rRNA from 1 species